rnacentral:rRNA from 1 species
UGGGGAAUUUUGCACAAUGGGGGAAACCCUGAUGCAGCGACGCCGCGUGAUUUAGAAGGCCUUCGGGUUGUAAAAAUCUUUUGUAUGGGAAGAAAAUGACAGUACCAUACGAAUAAGGACCGGCUAAUUACGUGCCAGCAGCCGCGGUAAUACGUAAGGUCCGAGCGUUGUCCGGAAUCAUUGGGCGUAAAGGGUACGUAGGCGGAUAAGCAAGUUAGAAGUGAAAUCCUAUAGCUCAACUAUAGUAAGCUUUUAAAACUGCUCAUCUUGAGGUAUGGAAGGGAAAGUGGAAUUCCUAGUGUAGCGGUGAAAUGCACAGAUAUUAGGAGGAAUACCGGUGGCGAAGGCGACUUUCUGGCCAUAAACUGACGCUGAGGUACGAAAGCGUGGGUAGCAAACAGG